GGCGCUGUGGCUUAGUUGGUUAAAGCGCCUGUCUCGUAAACAGGAGAUCCUGGGUCCAAAUCCCAGCAGUGCCU
rnacentral:tRNA from 1 species